GAUUGGUGGGAAGAUGAUUCAAUUAGAUGCGCGAAGUUCACCUUAUGAGCUAAACUUUUUGAGGCAUAUAUUCUGGCUUAUCCACCGAUC